rnacentral:tRNA from 1 species
GCCUGGGUGGCUCAGUUGGUUAAGCAUCUGACUUCAGCUCAGGUCAUGAUCUCACAGUUCAUGGGUUCGAGCCCCACAUUGGGCU